rnacentral:rRNA from 1 species
GUGAGGCCUCCGGACUGGCCCAGGGAGGUCGGCAACGACCACCCAGGGCCGGAAAGUUGGUCAAACUCGGUCAUUUAGAGGAAGUAAAAGUCGUAACAAGGUCUCCGUAGGUGAACCUGCGGAGGGAUCAUU